rnacentral:rRNA from 1 species
AUUGAACGCUGGCGGUAUGCUUAACACAUGCAAGUCGAACGGUAACAGGCCUUCGGGCGCUGACGAGUGGCGGACGGUGAGUAACGCGUAGGAAUCUGCCUCAUAGUGGGGACAACGUGGGGAAACUCACGCUAAUACCGCAUACGCCCUACGGGGAAAGCGGGGGAUCUUCGGACCUCGCGCUAUGAGAUGAGCCUGCGUUAGAUUAGCUAGUUGGUAGGGUAAAGGCCUACCAAGGCGACGAUCUAUAGCUGGUCUGAGAGGACGAUCAGCCACACUGGGACUGAGACACGGCCCAGACUCCUACGGGAGGCAGCAGUGGGGAAUAUUGGACAAUGGGCGCAAGCCUGAUCCAGCAAUACCGCGUGUGUGAAGAAGGCCUAGGGUUGUAAAGCACUUUCAAUUGGGA